GCCCAGACUCCUACGGGAGGCAGCAGUAGGGAAUCUUCCGCAAUGGACGAAAGUCUGACGGAGCAACGCCGCGUGAGUGAUGAAGGUUUUCGGAUCGUAAAGCUCUGUUGUUAGGGAAGAACAAGUACCGUUCGAAUAGGGCGGUACCUUGACGGUACCUAACCAGAAAGCCACGGCUAACUACGUGCCAGCAGCCGCGGUAAUACGUAGGUGGCAAGCGUUGUCCGGAAUUAUUGGGCGUAAAGGGCUCGCAGGCGGUUUCUUAAGUCUGAUGUGAAAGCCCCCGGCUCAACCGGGGAGGGUCAUUGGAAACUGGGGAACUUGAGUGCAGAAGAGGAGAGUGGAAUUCCACGUGUAGCGGUGAAAUGCGUAGAGAUGUGGAGGAACACCAGUGGCGAAGGCGACUCUCUGGUCUGUAACUGACGCUGAGGAGCGAAAGCGUGGGGAGCGAACAGGAUUAGAUACCCUGGUAGUCCACGCCGUAAACGAUGAGUGCUAAGUGUUAGGGGGUUCCGCCCCUUAGUGCUGCAGCUAACGCAUAAGCACUCCGACCG
rnacentral:rRNA from 1 species